rnacentral:lncRNA from 1 species
GAGGUUGGGCCCAGAUUGACAGUUCUUCGGCUUCUUGGGCUGGGCCUACUCUGACCGCUCCCGCCCCACCACCGAUUCUCUUCCUCCGCUCCGUUCCCCACCUCCGUUGGUGCGUCCACCGAGGCGGCCGGGUCGGUUCGCCUCCGCCGCGGUCGAUCAAUGAAUCCAUGCCGGCCUCGUGGCCUGGUUCCUUGCUCUCCUUAUUCUAGGAAUGUGCAACUGAGUGACUGCUGAGCUGUAGAUAAAUGUGAGGAGUUGAGGACAUUAUUUACAAACAAAUGGUAUGUAGUAUUCCAGAUCUGAAGAACUAGACGGAGCAUAUACAACAGAAGUGAUAGUAUAUGAAUAAGAGACUACACUGACUGAAUCUAGGACUUCUGGAUUAAUGGAAAGGCUUCUCACCACUUUGUUAGACUUGUCCUUCUCUGGUGUUAUACUGUCAUCUGAUAAAAUAAUUCAAUAGCAAGCUAAGCAACAGUAUACUUCAUACAUGGCAGAGCUCAACUUUGACUUCUCAGGGCUUAAAAUUGAAUUUAUAUGACAUAGCUUGUUUCAUUUCAGAUCAUCUGUUUUUCUUAAGUCAUCGCUUGUUUGAUUGGGUUUUCAGUUAGCAACAUCAUAGUUAGCAGCCCAAGAUUAAGAAUUGUAGUAUCUUCUGAAGAUUAAGACCUCAGUCAUUCUCCGAAAGUAUCAAUACUUGGAAGUAUGAAACUGUAGAUCAUGAAC